rnacentral:rRNA from 1 species
AUAAGGUUAAGUGAAUAAGGGCGCACGGUGGAUGCCUUGGCACUAGGAGCCGAUGAAGGACGGGACUAACACCGAUAUGCUUUGGGGAGCUGUACGUAAGCUAUGAUCCAGAGAUUUCCGAAUGGGGAAACCCAGCAUCUUUUAUAGGAUGUUACGUUUGCGUGAAUACAUAGCGCAUUCGAGGUAGACGCAGAGAACUGAAACAUCUAAGUACCUGCAGGAAGAGAAAGAAAAUUCGAUUCCCUGAGUAGCGGCGAGCGAAACGGGAAAAGCCCAAACCAAUGAGCUUGCUCAUUGGGGUUGUAGGACUCCAAUAUGGUAGUUCUUUCAGAUAAUCGAAUGACUUGGAAAAGUCAGUCAAAGAGGGUAAAAACCCCGUAGAUGAAAUUUGGAAGGCACCUAGGAGGAUCCUGAGUACGGCGGAACACGAGGAAUUCCGUCGGAAUCCGGGAGGACCAUCUCCCAAGGCUAAAUACUCCCUAGUGACCGAUAGUGAACCAGUACCGUGAGGGAAAGGUGAAAAGCACCCCGGAAGGGGAGUGAAAUAGAACCUGAAACCGUGUGCCUACAACAAGUCAAAGCCCGUUAAUGGGUGAUGGCGUGCCUUUUGUAGAAUGAACCGGCGAGUUACGAUUGCAUGCGAGGUUAAGUCGAAGAGACGGAGCCGCAGCGAAAGCGAGUCUGAAUAGGGCGUUUGAGUAUGUAGUCGUAGACCCGAAACCAUGUGAUCUACCCAUGUCCAGGUUGAAGGUGCGGUAAAACGCACUGGAGGACCGAACCCACGUACGUUGAAAAGUGCGGGGAUGAGGUGUGGGUAGCGGAGAAAUUCCAAACGAACUUGGAGAUAGCUGGUUCUCUCCGAAAUAGCUUUAGGGCUAGCCUCGGAUUUGAGAAUGAUGGAGGUAGAGCACUGUUUGGACUAGGGGCCCAUCUCGGGUUACCGAAUUCAGAUAAACUCCGAAUGCCAUUCAUUCAUAUCCGGGAGUCAGACUGUGAGUGAUAAGAUCCAUAGUCGAAAGGGAAACAGCCCAGACCACCAGCUAAGGUCCCAAAAUAUAUGUUAAGUGGAAAAGGAUGUGGGGUUGCACAGACAACUAGGAUGUUGGCUCAGAAGCAGCCACCAUUUAAAGAGUGCGUAAUAGCUCACUAGUCGAGUGACCCUGCGCCGAAAAUGUACCGGGGCUAAACAUAUUACCGAAGCUGUGGAGUACACCAUGAGGUGUAUUGGUAGGAGAGCGUUCUAAGGGCGUUGAAGGCAGAUCGUGAGGACUGCUGGAGCGCUUAGAAGUGAGAAUGCCGGUAUGAGUAGCGAAAGACAGGUGAGAAUCCUGUCCACCGAAUGACUAAGGUUUCCUGGGGAAGGCUCGUCCGCCCAGGGUUAGUCGGGACCUAAGCCGAGGCCGACAGGCGUAGGCGAUGGACAACAGGUUGAUAUUCCUGUACUCGUUGUUUUUGUUUGAGCAAUGGAGGGACGCAGGAGGCUAAGGAAUGCAGACGAUCGGAAAUGUCUGUCCAAGCAGUAAGUCUUGAUAGGAGUCAAAUGCUUCUGUCUAUACGGAUAAGCUGUGAUGGGGAGGGAAAUAAUAGUACCGAAGUUCCUGAUGUCACACUGCCAAGAAAAGCUUCUAGUGAGAAAACAAUGACCCGUACCGCAAACCGACACAGGUAGUCGAGGAGAGAAUCCUAAGGUGAGCGAGAGAACUCUCGUUAAGGAACUCGGCAAAAUGACCCCGUAACUUCGGGAGAAGGGGUGCUGAUCUUCGAUCAGCCGCAGUGAAUAGGCCCAAGCGACUGUUUAUCAAAAACACAGGUCUCUGCAAAAUCGUAAGAUGAAGUAUAGGGGCUGACGCCUGCCCGGUGCUGGAAGGUUAAGAGGAGUGCUUAGCGUAAGCGAAGGUACGAAUUGAAGCCCCAGUAAACGGCGGCCGUAACUAUAACGGUCCUAAGGUAGCGAAAUUCCUUGUCGGGUAAGUUCCGACCCGCACGAAAGGCGUAACGAUUUGGGCACUGUCUCAACGAGAGACUCGGUGAAAUUUUAGUACCUGUGAAGAUGCAGGUUACCCGCGACAGGACGGAAAGACCCCAUGGAGCUUUACUGUAGUUUGAUAUUGAGUGUCUGUACCGCAUGUACAGGAUAGGUAGGAGCCGUAGAAAUCGGAACGCUAGUUUCGAUGGAGGCGCUGGUGGGAUACUACCCCUGCGUUAUGGCCACUCUAACCCGCACCACUGAUCGUGGUGGGAGACAGUGUCAGAUGGGCAGUUUGACUGGGGCGGUCGCCUCCUAAAAGGUAACGGAGGCGCCCAAAGGUUCCCUCAGAAUGGUUGGAAAUCAUUCGAAGAGUGUAAAGGCAGAAGGGAGCUUGACUGCGAGACCAACAAGUCGAGCAGGGACGAAAGUCGGGCUUAGUGAUCCGGUGGUUCCGCAUGGAAGGGCCAUCGCUCAACGGAUAAAAGCUACCCUGGGGAUAACAGGCUUAUCUCCCCCAAGAGUCCACAUCGACGGGGAGGUUUGGCACCUCGAUGUCGGCUCGUCGCAUCCUGGGGCUGUAGUCGGUCCCAAGGGUUGGGCUGUUCGCCCAUUAAAGCGGCACGCGAGCUGGGUUCAGAACGUCGUGAGACAGUUCGGUCCCUAUCCGUCGCGGGCGUUGGAAAUUUGAGAGGAGCUGUCCUUAGUACGAGAGGACCGGGAUGGACUUACCGCUGGUGUACCAGUUGUUCUGCCAAGGGCAUUGCUGGGUAGCUAUGUAGGGAAGGGAUAAACGCUGAAAGCAUCUAAGUGUGAAGCCCACCUCAAGAUGAGAUUUCCCAUUUCUUUAAGAAAGUAAGAUCCCUGAGAGAUGAUCAGGUAGAUAGGUCAGGAGUGGAAGGCCAGUGAUGGUUGGAGCGGACUGAUACUAAUCGAUCGAGGACUUAACCAAA